rnacentral:rRNA from 1 species
CGAGCGAGAAGACGUAGCAAUACGUUUGUAAAGCGGCGAACGGGUGAGGAGUACAUGGGUAACCUACCCUUGAGUGGGGAAUAACUAGCCGAAAGGUUAGCUAAUACCGCGUACGCUCCUUGGACUUCGGUUCAGGGAGGAAAGCGCUGCCGAGGGCAGCGCGCUCUUGGAUGGGCUCAUGUCCUAUCAGCUUGUUGGUGAGGUAACGGCUCACCAAGGCUUCGACGGGUAGCUGGUCUGAGAGGACGAUCAGCCACACUGGCACUGCGACACGGGCCAGACUCCUACGGGAGGCAGCAGUAAGGAAUAUUGCGCAAUGGGCGAAAGCCUGACGCAGCGACGCCGCGCGGGGGAUGAAGGUCUUCGGAUUGUAAACCCCUUUCGGGAGGGAAGAUGGAAUGGGGUAACCCAUUCGGACGGUACCUCCAGAAGCAGCCACGGCUAACUUCGUGCCAGCAGCCGCGGUAAUACGAAGGUGGCAAGCGUUAUUCGGAUUUACUGGGCGUACAGGGAGCGUAGGCGGUUCGGUAAGCCCUCUGUGAAAUCUUCAGGCUUAACCUGGAAAAGUCGGAGGGGACUGCUGGGCUAGAGGACGGGAGAGGAGCGCGGAAUUCCCGGUGUAGCGGUGAAAUGCGUAGAGAUCAGGAGGAAGGCCGGUGGCGAAGGCGGCGCUCUGGAACGUUUCUGACGCUGAGGCUCG